rnacentral:rRNA from 1 species
AGAGUUUGAUCCUGGCUCAGGAUGAACGCUAGCUACAGGCUUAACACAUGCAAGUCGAGGGGCAGCAUGGUCUUAGCUUGCUAAGGCCGAUGGCGACCGGCGCACGGGUGAGUAACACGUAUCCAACCUGCCGUCUACUCUUGGACAGCCUUCUGAAAGGAAGAUUAAUACAAGAUGGCAUCAUGAGUCCGCAUGUUCACAUGAUUAAAGGUAUUCCGGUAGACGAUGGGGAUGCGUUCCAUUAGAUAGUAGGCGGGGUAACGGCCCACCUAGUCUUCGAUGGAUAGGGGUUCUGAGAGGAAGGUCCCCCACAUUGGAACUGAGACACGGUCCAAACUCCUACGGGAGGCAGCAGUGAGGAAUAUUGGUCAAUGGGCGAGAGCCUGAACCAGCCAAGUAGCGUGAAGGAUGACUGCCCUAUGGGUUGUAAACUUCUUUUAUAAAGGAAUAAAGUCGGGUAUGCAUACCCGUUUGCAUGUACUUUAUGAAUAAGGAUCGGCUAACUCCGUGCCAGCAGCCGCGGUAAUACGGAGGAUCCGAGCGUUAUCCGGAUUUAUUGGGUUUAAAGGGAGCGUAGAUGGAUGUUUAAGUCAGUUGUGAAAGUUUGCGGCUCAACCGUAAAAUUGCAGUUGAUACUGGAUAUCUUGAGUGCAGUUGAGGCAGGCGGAAUUCGUGGUGUAGCGGUGAAAUGCUUAGAUAUCACGAAGAACUCCGAUUGCGAAGGCAGCCUGCUAAGCUGCAACUGACAUUGAGGCUCGAAAGUGUGGGUAUCAAACAGGAUUAGAUACCCUGGUAGUCCACACGGUAAACGAUGAAUACUCGCUGUUUGCGAUAUACUGCAAGCGGCCAAGCGAAAGCGUUAAGUAUUCCACCUGGGGAGUACGCCGGCAACGGUGAAACUCAAAGGAAUUGACGGGGGCCCGCACAAGCGGAGGAACAUGUGGUUUAAUUCGAUGAUACGCGAGGAACCUUACCCGGGCUUAAAUUGCAGAUGAAUUACGGUGAAAGCCGUAAGCCGCAAGGCAUCUGUGAAGGUGCUGCAUGGUUGUCGUCAGCUCGUGCCGUGAGGUGUCGGCUUAAGUGCCAUAACGAGCGCAACCCUUAUCUUUAGUUACUAACAGGUUAUGCUGAGGACUCUAGAGAGACUGCCGUCGUAAGAUGUGAGGAAGGUGGGGAUGACGUCAAAUCAGCACGGCCCUUACGUCCGGGGCUACACACGUGUUACAAUGGGGGGUACAGAGGGCCGCUACCACGCGAGUGGAUGCCAAUCCCCAAAACCUCUCUCAGUUCGGACUGGAGUCUGCAACCCGACUCCACGAAGCUGGAUUCGCUAGUAAUCGCGCAUCAGCCACGGCGCGGUGAAUACGUUCCCGGGCCUUGUACACACCGCCCGUCAAGCCAUGGGAGCCGGGGGUACCUGAAGUGCGUAACCGCGAGGAGCGCCCUAGGGUAAAACUGGUGACUGGGGCUAAGUCGUAACAAGGUAGCCGUACCGGAAGGUGCGGCUG